rnacentral:rRNA from 1 species
GUGCCAGCAGCCGCGGUAAUACGCAGGGAGCAAGCGUUGUCCGGAAUCAUUGGGCGUAAAGCGCGCGUAGGUGGCCCCGUAAGUCCGCUGUGAAAGUCAAAGGCUCAACCUUUGAAAGCCGGUGGAUACUGUGGGACUAGAGUACGGAAGAGGCGAGUGGAAUUCCUGGCGUAGCGGUGGAAUGCGCAGAUAUCAGGAGGAACACCAAUAGCGAAGGCAGCUCGCUGGGACGUUACUGACACUGAGGCGCGAAAGCGUGGGGAGCGAACAGGAUUAGAUACCCCUGUAGUCA